rnacentral:lncRNA from 1 species
GAGCUGGCACUGAUGUUUGGAGAGGAUAAUGCUAUAGCUUUUCUGGCUUCCCAUGCUCUGAUGUGAAAAACUCUGAUCACAGGGCCAGGUCACUGUUGUCAUUCAUUACACUAAGAGAGGUUUGCUAACAGAGCACAGGUUUGUUGUUGUAGCAGAAAUGCUGAGUCAGGGCCUGAAGCAGUGAUGGAGCACCUGGUGGAAAGGCAAGGCCAAUCCAGGGCAGCUCAGGUGCAUGCAAUGUACCUGAGUGAUGAAGGGGUGGAGCCAGGAUCCUCCCCUUCCCAGACCUCAUUUAAGGGCUCACAGCCCAUGUGGGGAGGAGGGCUUUUGCUGGAUAUCCCUGUCUAUCUGAGGCCUUCUGAAGUGUUUUCAGAUACUGGCAAAGUUGGGAGUCUGUCAAGUGCCAACAGAUGGGAACAAGCCUGCUUCCACUAAUAGUUCUUCCCAAACUGCUGAUGUUAUAGCUGGAAGAGAGCUUUAGUCUUCAAGAAGAAAGGCAAAGGAGAAAGCGGAGGCUGCUUCUAUUUCUGUUUGUGUAAUGCUGUCUGACUCUUGUCAAGGAAAAACACAACAAAAAACCAACACGUUUUUCCUGCAGAAGUUUGGGGGGGGUGGGGAGGGGAGGAGAACCAUUUUUUUUUUCCACUAGUUCUAUUCAAUCAAUUUGUAGACCUACAGAGUAAUUAAGCUAAUUACACAUGUUCAGCCAUCUAGCUGCUUCCCUAUGGGGCCCAUGGUGAAACCAGGCCUGCCAAUUUGAAAGGUCCAUUCUGUGCAAAGGGCCAGUGGUGUUAGACCAGUACUCCCACCUUGAUGUCUGGGGAGAUCCUCUGUCUCUAAUAAAUAAGUAUUAGCAUUAAAUUCUUCAGAAUACUGAGAGCUGGAGAUCCCUCUUUGUGUGUGUGGGUGCACAUCAGAUGGGUGAUG